rnacentral:rRNA from 1 species
UGAGGAAUAUUGGUCAAUGGACGCAAGUCUGAACCAGCCAAGUAGCGUGCAGGAUGACGGCCCUAUGGGUUGUAAACUGCUUUUAUAUGGGGAUAAAGUGGGGAACGUGUUCCCUUUUGCAGGUACCAUAUGAAUAAGGACCGGCUAAUUCCGUGCCAGCAGCCGCGGUAAUAAGGAAGGUUCGGGCGUUAUCCGGAUUUAUUGGGUUUAAAGGGAGCGUAGGCCGUUUGGUAAGCGUGUUGUGAAAUGUAGGAGCUCAACUUCUAGAUUGCAGCGCGAACUGUCAGACUUGAGUGCGCACAACGUAGGCGGAAUUCAUGGUGUAGCGGUGGAAUGCUUAGAUAUCAUGAAGAACUCCGAUUGCGAAGGCAGCUUACGGGAGCGCAACUGACGCUGAAGCUCGAAGGUGCGGGUAUCGAACAGG